rnacentral:ncRNA from 2 species
CACCACUACAGCGUCGAUUUGUUUCGGCUUGCGGACGCUAUAUAAAAUCAGCUAAACAGAAGCAGCACAGAUGCCU